rnacentral:rRNA from 1 species
GAUGAACGCUAGCGGCAGGCCUAAUACAUGCAAGUCGGACGGGAUUCCGGAGCUUGCUUCUGAUGAGAGUGGCGCACGGGUGCGUAACACGUAUGUAACCUACCUUUAUCAGGGGGAUAGCUUCGCGAAAGAGAGAUUAAGCCCGCAUAAAAUCACAGCACAGCAUUGUGGAUUGAUCAAAUAUUUAUUUGAUGAAGAUGGGCAUGCGGAACAUUAGCUAGAUGGCGUAGUCACGGCCCACCAUGGCGACGAGGAUUAGGGGUGCUGAGAGGAUGGCCCCCCGAAAUGGAACUGAGACACGGACCAGAAUGGUAGGCGAGGACGCAGUAAGGAGUAUUGGGCAAGGAACGGUGGACUAAACCAGCCAUGCCGCGGGAAGAAAGCCGCGGAUACGGGUACUAACCUGGUUUUGUACGGGAAUAACCCCAGAUACGUGUAUCUGGCUGAAUGUACUGUCAGAAUAAGCACCGGCUAACUACGUG